rnacentral:rRNA from 1 species
UACAACUUUCAGCAACGGAUCUCUUGGCUCUCGCAUCGAUGAAGAACGCAGCGAAAUGCGAUAAGUAAUGUGAAUUGCAGAAUUCAGUGAAUCAUCGAAUCUUUGAACGCACCUUGCGCUCCUUGGUAUUCCGAGGAGCAUGCCUGUUUGAGUGUCAUGAAAUCUUCAA